rnacentral:rRNA from 1 species
UACGUAGGGAGCAAGCGUUGUCCGGAAUCAUUGGGCGUAAAGCGCGCGUAGGUGGCCUCAUAAGUCCGCUGUGAAAGUCAAAGGCUCAACCUUUGAAAGCCGGUGGAUACUGUGAGGCUAGAGUACGGAAGAGGCGAGUGGAAUUCCUGGUGUAGCGGUGGAAUGCGUAGAUAUGCGGAGGAACACCGAUGGCGAAGGCAAUCCCCUGGACCUGUACUGACGCUCAUGCACGAAAGCGUGGGGAGCAAACAGG